ACGGAGGGAGCAAGCGUUGUUCGGAAUUACUGGGCGUAAAGCGCACGUAGGCGGCUACUCCAGUCAGAUGUGAAAGCCCGGGGCUCAACCCGGGAAGUGCCUUUGAAACUAGGUAGCUAGAGUCUUGGAGAGGACGGUGGAAUUCCGAGUGUAGAGGUGAAAUUCGUAGAGAUCCGGAAGAACACCAGUGGCGAAGGCGACUAUCUGGACGAGUAUUGACGCUGAGGUGCGAAAGCGUGGGGAGCAAACAG
rnacentral:rRNA from 1 species